UUUUGGUAAAUACUAAAAAUAUGAUUGGGUGCUUGAAUUUUAUCAAAUCUUAUCAAAUUAUGUAUUGAUUAACACCUAGCACAAAGAACUGUCAAUCUUAUCUUCAGCCUCAAUAUUCCCAAAUUAUUGGAUUGCUUUACCAAACAAUUAAUAUAUACUUUUGAAUGGUGAUUGUUUUUCCUUCCUUAUAAUAACACAAAACAUAUUCCAAAGAACAUCAUCCUGUAAUCUGGUUGUGGUUUUCGUUGCCAAGCAUUACAAUCAAUUUUCUUUCAUUUUCUCCAUCUGACAUCCCCCCCCCCAAAAAAAAAUUAAGUAUAGUUUGCUGCUUCAGUUCAUCCAUAUUCAAAUUAGUUUCACUUUGUAAUGAGGUUAAGGCCUUAAGUGUUUGUUUUAAAGUUGGGAAAGUUUCUAAAAAUCACAAGGUUUGUUCCGAAAUUGAAAUUUUGUUGAAAACCACAGUGUG